rnacentral:rRNA from 1 species
GACGAACGCUGGCUGCGUGCUUAACACAUGCGAGUCGAACGGAAAGGCCCUUCGGGGUACUCGAGUGGCGAACGGGUGAGUAACACGUGGGUGAUCUGCCCUGCACUUUUGGAUAAGCCUGGGAAACUGGGUCUAAUACCGAAUAGGACCACGCGCUUCAUGGUGUGUGUUGUAAAUCUUUUGCUGUGUGGGAUGAGCCCGCGGCCUAUCAGCUUGUUGGUGGGUUAAUUGCCUACCAAGGCGACGAAGUGUAGCCGCCCUGAGAGGGUGACCGGCCACCUCGGGAUUGAGCUACGGCACAGCCUCCUACGGGCGGCAGCAGUGGGGAAUAUUCAACAAUGGGCGCAAGCCUGAUGCAGCGACGCCGCGUGAGGGAUGACGGCCUUCGGGUUGUAACCCUCUUUCAAUAGGGACGAAGCGCAAGUGACGGUACCUAUCGAAGAAGCCCAGGCCACCUCCGUG